UUUCACAUACGACGACAAUAGUGUACGUGGAGUUUAAUGGUCAAAACUAAAAGUGAGUGAUAGUCCCACAGCCUAACUACGCUCCAACAAAAUUAAAACUUGGUACAUACCAUCACCUAACCCCAAUUCUUUCAUCUUCCUCUCUUCAUUCCUUUUACUUAUCAAACUAUAAUUUUCCCAGUAACUUCUUCAGAAAUAUUACCUUGAUUAGUUAUUAGAAAAUAAAAAAAAUCGAGGAAAGAAAACCAGACGGACAACCUGAAUCAUCCUUUUCCGAAAAAAAUAAAAUAAUAACCCGGGUCAUCGGUCGGUCCUAUGUUUGUAACUCUCUCAAUAUGAAAUAUGAAUAGUCAAAUAAUAAAAGAGAAAACUUGGGUGUAAAAAUAGAUUUGGUAGAGAUUUGAAGGUCGCUUUCUGUUUUCUGACUCUCAUGAAAGACAAUGACCCUUCUAUUCAUAUUCAUAUUCAUUCAUUAAUUCUCUCCUUCUUCAUUCUUCUCCUUAUAAAUCUCACUGCCUCUUCUUUCUUUCUCUGAGCCUCUCUUACUUAAAUCAAGUACGGAAGUACAUCUAAAUCGUCGUCGUACACAACAUGUCUCAGCUCGACACUCUAUCUGCUGCUCGAUUAGCUUCCCUUCUCUAGUUCUUUUUUAAAUUCUUAAAUUGUGAUUACUGCUUAUAAUUAUAUUUUUCCCUUUAUUUAAGGGUUUGUUUACUUAUUUGAUUUGAUGGGUUCUUGUCUAAAAUCCAAAAAAAUAAAUAUUUUUUUUUUUAAAUUUUUAGGAAAAAUUAAGAGUGCACAUUUUGGUGGUGGGGUUGUUGUAAAUAUUUUCUCAGGUGGAGUGUGGAUUUAGUGAAUGAUUGUGUAGUCUUAUCAAUGUUGUCUCUGAACAAAAACAUUUUUUUCUACAGUUUUUUUUUUAAAAAAAAAGAAUUAUUAUUAUUAAUUUGAGAAUAAAAUUAUAUUUAGAGUGUACUUUGAUGGUCAGGGUGAGAUCAUAUCAAUAGUCAGUAUUCUGCCUUAAAUAGAUUUACAUGAUUCCCCAUUUUAGAUUCUUUUUUCAUCAAUCUAAGCUUUUUUGUCUUUCUCUCUCUAACAUAUUCUCUCUCUAAAUUCAGGGUGUUUUUUCAUGUCUACUCUAUAAUUUUAGAUUCACUAAUUGCAUGGUUUUGAAUGAUUAUUUUAAAUAAAUUUGACUAAUUUUAAAAAAAUCAGUUUGCUUUUGUGAUUUAUGCUCCCUAUGUUAAUUUUUUGUAACUUGAUCUGUCCCCUCUUUUUUUUUACUUGUUCUUCUCCCUAGCAUUAUGGGUUUAUUAUAAUUUAUUUUUAUUUAUGUGUUUUUAAUUUGUAAUUUUUUCAUAUUAAUUAACAGUAAUAAGUUUUUUUUAUUACAGUUGAUAAAGCUUUACAUUAGGGUUAGGGUUUGUUUAAGAAAUUGCUAUGUUCAGUAAGGGUGAUUGUUAGUGGUGGGUUUUUUUGUUUGUUUGUUUGCUUGUUUGUUUAUUAUGGUAUGUUAAUUAGUUUAAUUAUGCUGAUUAGUUUCUUAUGAAAUUUUUCAUUUUUUUUGUUUCUUACAAUUAGAAAUAUGUUAAUGCAAUUUUAUCAUUUCUUCUAAUUAAUUUUGUUUCUAACUAAUUAUACUCAUGCUAAUUGCUAAUCACUAUUGUUUUUUUUUUUUUUUGUUGAAUUUAGUUUCUUUAACCUUGACUGAGUCUUUACUCUCUUGAAUUAAUUACUUUAUGUUUUAGAGGAACCUUUCUUUAUUUAUUUAUUUUUUUUCUAUGCAAUCGACACGACAUGACACGAAUGUCUUUGUGUAAUUUAAUUAUUUUGAUUGAAUGGAAGCUUAUAUAUAUCAUUUAUUUAAUUCAAAUGAACACCUUAGUUUACAACAAUUGAUUUGUUUGAAUGAAACUGAAAAUAUUUCUGUUCAAAUCACAUGAAUUUCAUUGUUCGUUGUUGAUUAUAUUUAUGCAUUCACUUUAAUAUCAAUAUUCCUGUUCACUUCACAAGUUAACAUGAAUUCCUAAGCUCUCAUAUCUUCAAAUGAAUCGAUGUUCGAAGAAAGUCGAAAAUCAUUUGUUUGUCUAAUACAAGAAUGUAGUAGUUAUGUUGUAAUUGCAUGUGUUAGAAUUUACAUUUGGAAAUGUUAGAAUGAAGAAGUAGUGUAAGAGAGCUUCCUUCAGCCCACUCAUGGAUGGAAAAAAGGGGUAUUGAAUUAUCUGCCGACUCAUUCAUUCAAACACUUAGUAGAACGAAAGAUUAUCGAAAUGGUUACGGUACUACUGUGAUUGCAUGAAUGAUGCGGGAGAUAGUUUCAUCCUUCUCUAUCUUUGCUUGGACUGAAGGGAGCUCCCUUUUUCUAUUCCCUUCUUUUUUUGCAUCAUUUGAUUCGACUCGAGUUAGUCUAUGAAGAUGAUUUUGGCUUGAUUGCAUAUAUAUGUUCAUGAUUAAAUUGCUAUUGUAUAAUUCUAAUGUUAUUCCAUGGUUUAGUUGUGGUAUUAAUUGUUUAGAAUUUCCUUUCUAUCCCUUAUUUUUCUCAUUGUUUUGAUCAUGACAUUGACCUGGUUUCUCUAUAUAAUCAUUUUGGUGUAUGAAACGCGGCACACUUGUAAGCCGGAUGGUCUAAUCAUGGAUGAUGGAGCUGAUCAGCAAGCUUAUUGCUUCAGAGUACACCAGUUGAGGCGCAAAUCGAUGUCUGCGAAAUCCUGAAAAUUCUUCCAUAGAUCCCACAACAAUGGUAAAUGGUCUUUCAACGGAGUAAUGGAGUAUAUAUGUAAAAAUCAUAUCCCUUGGUUACUAGAGUGUGGAUUUUGAACUGAAAUGCUGAAGUCCCGAGCAUUUUGUUGGUCCAGAUACCAGAAUGCAUCCAUGGUUCUGCAUGCUGGGAAUAUUAUGCCGAGAUUCAAUCAGCGGGAGCUAUCUAAUACAACUUACCCCUCAAGAGAUGGUAUAUAUAAGGCGACUAAUGCCAGCUCUUAUGAGUUGGGUGGCCUCACUUGUGUCGCUCAAUUGUUGGCAUGCCCAUAUGAUACCUUCAUUAUCUUCACAAAUACUUGGCGCAUAUUAGUGAAUGUGGAUGUCAAUUUGCUUAGUUGAUUAAGUCUUGGGGUGUUAUUAGAUUGAAUUCAUUUUACAUCAUUGCAAGGCUCACAUCCUAAUCAUUAAUUAGUUUUGCUAUAAAGAUUAAUUAUACUGAUUAUAUCUUGCUGCAUUUAUAUAUUUGAAGACGGAACAAAUUUAGAGUUUGAUUUACUUACAAGUCCAAAGGAGGUUUCAUAUUAAAUACUUGUAUAAUUGGUAUGGUAAUAGUUGAGUAGCUUAUUUAAUAUAUGAGGUGGUAUAUUUCAUUUCCUUUAACUAAUUAAUGUGAGAUAACUCGCAUGUAGAUAACAAUGAAGUUUCAACAACCAUUCAACCAUCGAUCUAAUACAAGUAUAUGAUAAACCUAAAACAUACUUUGUAUUUCCUUCGUUUAAUUUUAGUUUUAAUUUUUACGCUAUUCACAAAUUAUGGUUUGAUUAUAUGACAUAUAUAGAGUAAAAAAAAUGUACUCUAAUAAUUUUGAGGGAUAUUGUUGAUUUCAUCUUUUCAACAUAUCAGCUUUUAUUUUUUACUUUGUAAAUAACUUUCACAUAGUAAUUAUGAUUGAAGUUAUGUAUUAGCAAGCAUGAAAAAUAUAAACGUUACACUAAAUAUAAAAAAUAUUCAUAUGCUCCAUUUGUUUUAAAAAAAUUCACAUAACCUCUUUAAUUUGGAAAAAUAAUACUUUAAUUCCAAUUAUGGGCGAUUUACUUCUAAUAAUCUCAACUAAUGUUUAUUUUUUUAAUAAUCCCAACUAUGCUAUGCGUUUGCCUCCAACGGUCCCAACCGGUCAACAUUAAGUCAACAAUCUGUUAUAACCAGUGAUCAUGAUACGUGUAAACACAUGAUUGGUCUAAAAUUUUUAAAAAAUUAAAAAAAAAAAAAAAAAAACCAUAAAAAAAAAAAAAAAAAAAAAAUUUCCCCAGACACCCUCUCCUCACCCCCUAACCUUGUCUAAAACCCUAACUUCACCCCCUAACCUUGCCGAAAACCGACCGACCACCCUCCCUUAACCACCGAAAAUGGCCGGCCCUCUACCAACCAUCCGACCCACCCCGACCCCCAAACCUCAUGAGUUUGUGCUUUGCUCUAUUUUUGGGCUGCUUUGGUGGUCGAAAUUUGCGUAGCUGCUGUUGUAAAUUGGUAAUGUGGCUGAGAUGCGGAGGCUGAGGUAUUUGGUGGUCAGUGCGCUGCUGGGCGCUAGAUCUAUUAUUGUUGUUGUUUGCAAGUGGUAGCAAGGGUUGUAGAGGAGCUACGGUGGCGGCUAGGGGCUGGAGUUGUUGUGGUUUCCAUGAGUCGAGGUGGGUCGGGUUGGUGGUUUUUGGGGUCAGGGUGGGCUGGGUGGGUGGUUUCGGGGGUCGGGAGUGGGUCUGUUGGGAUAGUAAAGGGCUGGCCUGCCGGUUUUGGUGGUUAAGGAGGGUGGCCGGAAAGGGUUUGGCAGUGGAGGAAAGGUGGCUGGGGAAUUUUUUAUUUUAUUUUAUUUUUUAAAUUUUAGACCAAUCAUGUGUUGAUAUGUGGCUAAUAAAAUCGAAAAAAAAAAAAAAAAAACUCUUUCAACAAGUUACCGGUCAUUAGGACCAUUGAAUGCAAUCACACAACAUAGUUGGAAUUAUUAGAAGUAAAUCGCUCAUAAUUGAGAUUAUUAAUGUGUAUUUUUCUCUUUAAUUUUGAUACGUUAGCCAUUGUGUUAUGGAGGUACUCGUAAUAUGCAAAAUUCACAAUACCCUCUUUUGUUUUUGGAAAAUGUGUCACUAGGUUUUUGUUGAAUGAUCUAAAAAUUAGUACUAGUAUUACAUACGACAAUCUCUUCUUUUUCCUCGUGCAUUUCACCAAUUGUACUAGUAAUGCUUAAAAAAAAGAAAGAAAGAAAAUCAAUCAUAGUGAUUAGACUCCAUUUAGAAUUUUCCUAUGAAGGCCAUUGGAGCAAUAUAAAUGAAAAUAAUUAAGGAGUGUGACAUGAAAUUGAAUAGUUACAAAAAUUAGACAUUUAGACAAGUCAAAAGAUGUAAGAGUAACAUUAUGUUAGCGUGUCUCCCUCGCCCAAUUGUUGGAAUAGG